GGGUUGUGAGGUUAAGCGACUAAGCGUACACGGUGGAUGCCCUGGCAGUCAGAGGCGAUGAAGGACGUGCUAAUCUGCGAUAAGCGUCGGUAAGGUGAUAUGAACCGUUAUAACCGGCGAUUUCCGAAUGGGGAAACCCAGUGUGUUUCGACACACUAUCAUUAACUGAAUCCAUAGGUUAAUGAGGCGAACCGGGGGAACUGAAACAUCUAAGUACCCCGAGGAAAAGAAAUCAACCGAGAUUCCCCCAGUAGCGGCGAGCGAACGGGGAGCAGCCCAGAGCCUGAAUCAGUGUGUGUGUUAGUGGAAGCGUCUGGAAAGGCGCGCGAUACAGGGUGACAGCCCCGUACACAAAAAUGCACAUGCUGUGAGCUCGAUGAGUAGGGCGGGACACGUGGUAUCCUGUCUGAAUAUGGGGGGACCAUCCUCCAAGGCUAAAUACUCCUGACUGACCGAUAGUGAACCAGUACCGUGAGGGAAAGGCGAAAAGAACCCCGGCGAGGGGAGUGAAAAAGAACCUGAAACCGUGUACGUACAAGCAGUGGGAGCACGCUUAGGCGUGUGACUGCGUACCUUUUGUAUAAUGGGUCAGCGACUUAUAUUCUGUAGCAAGGUUAACCGAAUAGGGGAGCCGAAGGGAAACCGAGUCUUAACUGGGCGUUAAGUUGCAGGGUAUAGACCCGAAACCCGGUGAUCUAGCCAUGGGCAGGUUGAAGGUUGGGUAACACUAACUGGAGGACCGAACCGACUAAUGUUGAAAAAUUAGCGGAUGACUUGUGGCUGGGGGUGAAAGGCCAAUCAAACCGGGAGAUAGCUGGUUCUCCCCGAAAGCUAUUUAGGUAGCGCCUCGUGAAUUCAUCUCCGGGGGUAGAGCACUGUUUCGGCAAGGGGGUCAUCCCGACUUACCAACCCGAUGCAAACUGCGAAUACCGGAGAAUGUUAUCACGGGAGACACACGGCGGGUGCUAACGUCCGUCGUGAAGAGGGAAACAACCCAGACCGCCAGCUAAGGUCCCAAAGUCAUGGUUAAGUGGGAAACGAUGUGGGAAGGCCCAGACAGCCAGGAUGUUGGCUUAGAAGCAGCCAUCAUUUAAAGAAAGCGUAAUAGCUCACUGGUCGAGUCGGCCUGCGCGGAAGAUGUAACGGGGCUAAACCAUGCACCGAAGCUGCGGCAGCGACGCUUAUGCGUUGUUGGGUAGGGGAGCGUUCUGUAAGCCUGCGAAGGUGUGCUGUGAGGCAUGCUGGAGGUAUCAGAAGUGCGAAUGCUGACAUAAGUAACGAUAAAGCGGGUGAAAAGCCCGCUCGCCGGAAGACCAAGGGUUCCUGUCCAACGUUAAUCGGGGCAGGGUGAGUCGACCCCUAAGGCGAGGCCGAAAGGCGUAGUCGAUGGGAAACAGGUUAAUAUUCCUGUACUUGGUGUUACUGCGAAGGGGGGACGGAGAAGGCUAUGUUGGCCGGGCGACGGUUGUCCCGGUUUAAGCGUGUAGGCUGGUUUUCCAGGCAAAUCCGGAAAAUCAAGGCUGAGGCGUGAUGACGAGGCACUACGGUGCUGAAGCAACAAAUGCCCUGCUUCCAGGAAAAGCCUCUAAGCAUCAGGUAACAUCAAAUCGUACCCCAAACCGACACAGGUGGUCAGGUAGAGAAUACCAAGGCGCUUGAGAGAACUCGGGUGAAGGAACUAGGCAAAAUGGUGCCGUAACUUCGGGAGAAGGCACGCUGAUAUGUAGGUGAAGUCCCUCGCGGAUGGAGCUGAAAUCAGUCGAAGAUACCAGCUGGCUGCAACUGUUUAUUAAAAACACAGCACUGUGCAAACACGAAAGUGGACGUAUACGGUGUGACGCCUGCCCGGUGCCGGAAGGUUAAUUGAUGGGGUUAGCGCAAGCGAAGCUCUUGAUCGAAGCCCCGGUAAACGGCGGCCGUAACUAUAACGGUCCUAAGGUAGCGAAAUUCCUUGUCGGGUAAGUUCCGACCUGCACGAAUGGCGUAAUGAUGGCCAGGCUGUCUCCACCCGAGACUCAGUGAAAUUGAACUCGCUGUGAAGAUGCAGUGUACCCGCGGCAAGACGGAAAGACCCCGUGAACCUUUACUAUAGCUUGACACUGAACAUUGAGCCUUGAUGUGUAGGAUAGGUGGGAGGCUUUGAAGUGUGGACGCCAGUCUGCAUGGAGCCGACCUUGAAAUACCACCCUUUAAUGUUUGAUGUUCUAACGUGGACCCGUAAUCCGGGUUGCGGACAGUGUCUGGUGGGUAGUUUGACUGGGGCGGUCUCCUCCUAAAGAGUAACGGAGGAGCACGAAGGUUGGCUAAUCCUGGUCGGACAUCAGGAGGUUAGUGCAAUGGCAUAAGCCAGCUUGACUGCGAGCGUGACGGCGCGAGCAGGUGCGAAAGCAGGUCAUAGUGAUCCGGUGGUUCUGAAUGGAAGGGCCAUCGCUCAACGGAUAAAAGGUACUCCGGGGAUAACAGGCUGAUACCGCCCAAGAGUUCAUAUCGACGGCGGUGUUUGGCACCUCGAUGUCGGCUCAUCACAUCCUGGGGCUGAAGUAGGUCCCAAGGGUAUGGCUGUUCGCCAUUUAAAGUGGUACGCGAGCUGGGUUUAGAACGUCGUGAGACAGUUCGGUCCCUAUCUGCCGUGGGCGCUGGAGAACUGAGGGGGGCUGCUCCUAGUACGAGAGGACCGGAGUGGACGCAUCACUGGUGUUCGGGUUGUCAUGCCAAUGGCACUGCCCGGUAGCUAAAUGCGGAAGAGAUAAGUGCUGAAAGCAUCUAAGCACGAAACUUGCCCCGAGAUGAGUUCUCCCUGACUCCUUGAGAGUCCUGAAGGAACGUUGAAGACGACGACGUUGAUAGGCCGGGUGUGUAAGCGCAGCGAUGCGUUGAGCUAACCGGUACUAAUGAACCGUGAGGCUUAACCUUACAACGCCGAAGGUGUUU
rnacentral:rRNA from 1 species